rnacentral:scaRNA from 1 species
UCACUUACCUGGAUGGGGUGCGAUCAAGAAGGUUCAUGGCCUAACUUAGUGACUUCUAUUGCACUUAAGGUCCAAGCAGUCGAGCCUACAUCAUAAUUUGUGAAAAAAGUUGUAAGAGUAAAAUGCUAAAACCUG